UACGGGAAGGCAGCAGUGGGGAAUAUUGCACAAUGGGCGCAAGCCUGAUGCAGCCAUGCCGCGUGUAUGAAGAAGGCCUUCGGGUUGUAAAGUACUUUCAGUCGUGAGGAAGGUGUUAAGGUUAAUAACCUUAGCAAUUGACGUUAGCGACAGAAGAAGCACCGGCUAACUCCGUGCCAGCAGCCGCGGUAAUACGGAGGGUGCGAGCGUUAAUCGGAAUUACUGGGCGUAAAGGGCACGCAGGCGGUUAAUUAAGUUGGAUGUGAAAUCCCCGGGCUUAACCUGGGAAUGGCAUUCAAGACUGGUUAGCUAGAGUCUUGUAGAGGGGGUAGAAUUCCAUGUGUAGCGGUGAAAUGCGUAGAGAUGUGGAGGAAUACCGGGUGGCGAAGGCGGCCCCUGGGACAAAGACUGACGCUCAUGUGCGAAAGCGUGGGGAGCAAACAGGAUUAGAUACC
rnacentral:rRNA from 1 species